rnacentral:lncRNA from 1 species
GAAUGACGUGCAAAAGAAGCCAGAUACUAGAGAAAAUAUAUCACAGAAUUCCAUUUACAUACUUUUAAAAACAGACGGAAGUAAACUGUAGUGUUCAGGGGUUCAUGCUUAGGUGGGAAUAACUGAAGAAGAGCAAGGAAAUCUAUGCGCUGUUCAUUGAGCUAGACAUUUCUGAUUUGCACAAUUUUCUGUAUGUGAACUAUAUUUCACAACAGAAGUGUUUAAAAAUAACACAACCUCUAUACUGAAAAUACAAAGUUAUUUGGGUCAUUGUUGGUGAUUUCGAUAUGAACAGUGAGCAAGACUAGACAAACUAUCCCAGUGGCUUUGGUGAGGUUGGGUUCCACCUGUGGAAGCUAAUUGUUACGUAACCAUGGUGAUCAGGAGCACAUUUCAUUGGUUAAAAUGGAGGGAAACUAACCAAUCAUCAUGAUCUUCAUGUUUGCACAGCCACCCCGCCCUCCGCCUUUUUUUUUUUCAGUGACUAGAAGAGGAAGGCCAGAGAUGAAAUGUUUCUAAUGUGUUUUAAAAUUUAAUGUGGCCUAAAGAAAGAGCGGUGUUACUGCAACACAACAGGAAAUAGCUGAGGGAGCCUGUUAGCAGAUUUUGAGCACUGGACGUUGCUGCCAAGGCUAAGAGGUGAAAAAUGUGCCUUCUAUGAGUCACUGACUCCACACAGCAUGAAGCUAAAAACAACCACUGUGGCAAAUGGGGAGUCUACAUUCAGGGAAAAUUUGUAUAGGGUUUUUUUGCACAUUGGAUGGUCAGCAGACCCCGGGGAAAGGACUUUAAGAAGCUGCUGAAGAACAAAAAUGAAGGUGGGAGCUGUUGGUGUCGAGUGACUCAUAGCACCAUCCUUCAGGGACGGUGUGGUUGGCCAGAGUAUGGUCAGGGAGAGCCAAGAGAAGAAGUGCUUCUGAGUAUGACCCAGCAGGGUGGAAAGAAGGAGUCUCCCAAGUGCACAUUUGUUGGAGGAAGCUUUUGUGGGCUCCUGACAUUCCAUUAUUCUAGAACUACAAGGAGACACCCUCCAGAGAAAGCAGCAACAAGGCACCAUCUUGGAAGCUGA